rnacentral:lncRNA from 1 species
CCUCUCCUUUUUCACUGGCACUUUUCCCAUUCCUCCCACCCAUCACUUCGAUGGACAGUAUCUCUCCCUCCCUCUCUUUUCCCCCCCUGAGUCUAUAUCUAUUACUGAAAUUGCUAUGUUUACCUUGACAUGUGUUGAUUAGACAUUCCUGUGGAUAUUCUUGUGCCCUCCCCUUCAUCUACAAUGUGCAGUACGUAGAUUCUACGUUGAUCUCAAAACGUAUUGACAGGAGUUAGGCUGGCUUUCGCUAGUCCUGUCUAUACAGGUGAAGGAAAGGACACCAGCAGAUUAAGCCACUUCAUAGGCCUUCUGCCGCAACAGCCUUGGUAUGAAUCGGAUCCUAGACAGCUAUGUGACCCCCCCCCCGCCCCCUAUAGGCCAGCGGAGACCAGUCAUCGCCGAGCCCCCGACCAUAGGGAGGAGCGGGAGACCAGUCUGAGGACGCCACCUCUGUCUACGACCUGCUGAGCAUCGGCAUGGCCAGGAGGGGGCAGUAUGCCAUGCUGUCUGAGUGUCUGGAACGGGCCAUGAAGUUCUCAUUUAAUGAGUCCACCUCUGGCACCAGUUUGGGCUUGUCACUCAUGGCAUGUGGAAAGGUGAGCUCAUCGCGCACACACACACACACACACACACACACACACCACAAACACACACACUAUCCUACUCUAAUCUGGCACUACUACCUGCUCGCAAGCAUAUGUAAUCACUCAUCCUCUAAAUGUUGCUGUGAGGUUUGGUGUGCGUUAGUCAGUGGAAUGCGUGAACCAGAAGGACUGAGUGAUGACGAGAGAUGAGGAGUGUGACAGAUAGAAAGAUCUGGAACCGCCCCGAGUGAAACAGGAAAAUUGAUCUCCUCCCCGGCCUACUGCCUGCAGGAUGAGGUGACACCGCAGAUCAAUGCAGAACUCUGGAAAUAGGCUGCUCCCUAUAAGGAUGGGGGGGGGGGCUCAGUGUCGUCGAUCUGCUUCUAUUUAGGGCCAGUGUGUGUGUUAGGGAGCGAGAGAGUGUGUGUGUGUGUGUGUGUGUGUAGUGCAUUGAUAAAUGACCUAUAGGACUCCCUUUCUGUGUUAUUCUAUACGGAAAGUAAAUAUGCACGUGAUCUAUGCUCCUGUUAUAUCAGCAGACUAGAUUGUCCUGUCUACACUGUAGGAGAGUGGGUGUGGUGUGUGUGUGUGUGUGUGUGUGGUGUGGUGUGUGUGUGUGUGUGUGUGUGUGUGAGAGACGACUUUCUCGACGUGUCAGUGACCAUCGUGUGUGCCUGUGUUUACAGGGUGUGGGCGCCGGUGUCUGUGCUCAAGGAGUGUGCCAGGAUGAGACCCGAGGACCCCUCACUGCCCAUGUUGGCCGCCAAAGUCUGCAUCGGCCAACUGCACUGGGUGAAUGACACACACAGUCUCUCUCUAUUUCACGAUACCUUUACACGACAUGCUAUGCUUACCAUCCAUACGGGCCGUCGGUCACCAUUCAGAAUCGCCGCAACCAUUAUUACAUAACCGCGCUCCACACGAACGCCCACCUCCGCCCCAACCACUGUGAUAACCAGCCUAGCAAUGCCGGGCCUGUUGUUGAUCCAGGAGGGGGGAAGUGUAGGAUUAGGAGACGCAUGGUGGCAUGGCAACAGAGGGGCUAGAGAUCAGAUGUGGCUAGGGAGACUAAGGAGCUUACAGCCUUACAAUCACAAUAGGAUACUAUGGGACCAAAGAGCAACACAUUACACACAUCUUGACCAUGGAACUACACAUUUGCACUGUAUUAUCUGGGAGUCUGGGACUUUGGGACUAGAGUCAUUCGAGGGUCUUUGACCCCUAGUUGGUAGGAGUGGAGUGACCAAUAGGGAUUUGUGUCUGACUGUGGAAUGUUAUUUUUUAUUUUUGAAAGAAAUAUAUAUGAUUUUUGUUGCAUUAUUUGAUUGUAAAAAUUACAUUUAGGGAGUUUAAUAAGGGAAAUAUUUUUUUUCAGAAUUUUUCAAAUGUUUUCAAUAUUAUUACACUGAACAAAAAUAUAAACGCAACAUGCAACAAUUUCUAAGAUUUUACUGAGUUACAGUUCAUAUUAGGAAAUCAAUCAAUUGAAAUAAAUAAAUUAGGCGCUAAUUAGGCCCUAUUACAUGACUGGGAAUAGAGUGGCUGUGCAAAGUUGCUGGAUAUUGGCGGGAACUGGAACAAGCUGUCUUACACGUCGAUCCAGAGCAUCCCAAACGUGCUCAAUGGGUGACAAGUCUGGCACAUUUUCAGCUUCCAGUAAUAAUGUACAGAUCCUUGCAACGUGGGGCUGGGCAUUAUCAUGCUGAAACAUGAGGUGAUGGCGGAGGAUGAAUGACACGACAAUGGGCCUCAGGAUCUUGUCACGGUAUCUCUGUGCAUUCAAAUUGCCAUCGAUAAAAAUGCAAUUGUGUUCGUUGUACCAUGACCCCACUGCCACCAUGGGGUACUCCGUUCACAACAUUGACAUCAGAAAACCACUCGCCCACACGACGCCAUACACGCUGUCUGCCCAGUACAGUUGAAACUGAGAUGUAUCCAUGAAGCACAAGCAUUUUGCUACACUCGCAUUAACAUCUGCUAACCAGGUGUAUGUGACCAAUACAAUUUGAUUUGAUUUGAAGAGCACACUUCUCCAGUGUGCCAGUGGCCAUCGAAGGUGAGCAUUUUGUCCACUGAAGUCGGUUACGAUGCCAAACUGCAGUCAGGUCAAGACCCUGGUGAGGAUGACGAGCACGCAGAUGAGCUUCCUGAGACGGUUUCUGACCGUUUGUGCAGAAAUUCCUCGGUUGUGCAAACUCACAGUUUCAUCAGCUGUGCAGGUGGCUGGUCUCAGAUGGUCCCGCAGGUGAAGAAGCCAGAUGUGGAAGUCCUGUGCUGCCGUGGUUUACACGUGGUCUGCUGUUGUGAGGCCAGUUGGAUGUACUACCAAGUUCUAUAAAACGAUGUUGAAGGCGGCUUAUGGUAGAGAAAUGAACAUUAAGUUCUCUGGCAACAACUCUGGUAGACACUGCCUGCUAAAAGUUCUAUUAGAAUAGUUAUGUUUUUAUUGGAGAUUUUCAAAUGAAUCGUUUUCCAUAUCUUACAAAUGUUUGUAUUGAACUUGUAUUUUUAGAGGCAAAAAUAUGUCUGUUUUGAGUAUCUGCUGUCAACUCUGUCAGUGGCUUGUCAAUUCCGUCACGGAUGGCUAACCCCCUUAAGAAUGAUUUUUUUGUAAAUAUUCAGAGAAUUUUUUUUAUAACACUGUUCUACAACAGUAUGCUUAAACUUUUGAAGUAUUUGCUUUUGCCAGACCUAAAGCAUAAUGUUUGCUUUUUACAUGUUUUAUGUUCUAAAUCUAGAAAAACAUGCUACCCCUGGAGCAUUUAAUAAUGCAUAUUUGAAUAAUCUUAUGUUAGUAUUAAACAAUAAAAAAAAUUACAAAAAUGAAUCACUGGAAAAUAUAAACAAACUGUUGAUUAACAUUAUUUAAAAGCUUACAAACAGGGUUGUCAAACUAUUUUAAAUGUCUUAUUAUAUUUUUUGGUGACAUUUGUCAUUAAACGUUAAACGUUAUCUAAAAACGUGUCAACUCCGUUUUGUUUCAUAUUCGCAUAUGUUGUAGCUUAGAUCCUAAUUUGACAUCAUCUGAGUUGGGUCAUUUGUGUUGUGCCCGCCAUCGGUAGAGACACAACAUGCUCUUGAAUAAAGGAGCACUUUUAUCUCCUAAAUAUUUAGCCAUUUCCAUGGGCAAAUAUCUUUUGUUUAAAUCAAAAUGGACACUGUCAAAAAGGAACUCAAUUCAAAUGCAUAUAUCCCAUAAUAACAUAAUGGCUCUCUUUCUUUCUAUUGUAUGGAACUUUGUUGAUAGUGUCUGUAUUCUGAGAAAGAGAGGGAUAGAGAAUGAGGAGGAGGAUGAUGAGGGAGGGGAGAGAUAGAAAGAGAGAGUAAAGGGGAGGGGGGGCAGUCAGGGAGAGUCUAAGCAGCUGUCCUGCUGGCACCGUGUCAAAGGCAAUUCACCGACCCCUCCCCAUACCUCACACUGAGUGACACAGUUUUACCUCGUCCCAGCUCAGCCACACGGGGGACUCUAGUGCGCUGUUCUUCACUUGAAUCUACAGUGUCCUUAAACUAACCACACACUGCCCACGAUACAGCCCUUCAGACUAUACAAACGCUCUAUACUAUGCAAACACAAAAGCUCACUAAACAAGACAAUCCGAAACCAACUGAAUAUGCCUUUAAACCCUUGAUUCCACAGUUGAGCUCACAAGGUUAGUAAGUACUUCAGCAGACUAGACCCAUACCCUUAUCGGACUGUUAUCUUUGCGUGUAUCUGUGUGUGAUAGCUGGAGGAGGCUGAGGCCCUGUCUCAGAGUGUGGUGUCCAUGGGAGAGGAGGCUGCAGAGUUCCUGUCCCGUGCGUACCUGACUGUGGGGCUGUGCUGCAGUCUGCAGGCCUCUGACGGUAAGAGACACCACUAUGAGCUGCUCUACGAGGCAGGAUUGGUUUCCUCUAACAAACGGUGGCCC